rnacentral:rRNA from 1 species
GGUGACUGCGGAAGGAUCAUUACCGAGUGCGGGUCCUUUGGGCCCA